CUACGGGGGGCAGCAGUGAGGAAUCUUCCACAAUGGGCGAAAGCCUGAUGGAGCGACACCGCGUGAAGGAUGAAGGGUUUAUUCUCGUAAACUUCUUUUCUGUGGGAAGAUGAUGACGGUACCACAGGAAUAAGGGACGGCUAAUUACGUGCCAGCAGCCGCGGUAAUACGUAAGUCCCAAGCGUUAUCCGGAAUUAUUGGGCGUAAAGUGUUCGUAGGCGGGUAUUUAAGUUGGAUAUGAAAGACCGGGGCUCAACCUCGUGUUUGUGUUCAAAACUGGAUACCUAGAAUUGGAGAGAGGCAAGUAGAAUUACUGGAGUAGGGGUGCAAUCCGUAGAUACCAGUAGGAAUACCAAAAGCGAAGGCAACUUGCUGGCUCCAUAUUGACGCUGAGGAACGAAAGCGUGGGUAGCAAAGAGGAUUAGAUACCCGCGUAGUC
rnacentral:rRNA from 1 species